rnacentral:rRNA from 1 species
UACGUAGGGGGCUAGCGUUGUCCGGAAUCAUUGGGCGUAAAGCGCGUGUAGGCGGUCCGGUAAGUCCGCUGUGAAAGUCGAGGGCUCAACCCUCGAAUGCCGGUGGAUACUGUCGGGCUAGAGUGCGGAAGAGGCGAGUGGAAUUCCUGGUGUAGCGGUGAAAUGCGCAGAUAUCAGGAGGAACACCGGUGGCGAAGGCGGGUCUCUGGGCCGAUACUGACGCUGAGGAGCGAAAGCGUGGGGAGCAAACAGG